ACGAAGCAUUUCUUACGAUCCCUUCGGGGUGACGAGUUAUUGACUGAGUGGCGGACGGGUGAGUAACGCGUGGGUAACCUACCUUGUACAGGGGGACAACAGUUGGAAACGACUGCUAAUACCGCAUAAGCGCACAGCAUCGCAUGAUGCAGUGUGAAAAGUUUUUUCGGUACAAGAUGGACCCGCGUCUGAUUAGCUAGUUGGUGAGGUAACGGCCCACCAAGGCGACGAUCAGUAGCCGACCUGAGAGGGUGACCGGCCACAUUGGGACUGAGACACGGCCCAAACUCCUACGGGAGGCAGCAGUGGGGAAUAUUGCACAAUGGGCGCAAGCCUGAUGCAGCGACGCCGCGUGAGCGAAGAAGUAUUUCGGUAUGUAAAGCUCUAUCAGCAGGGAAGAUAAUGACGGUACCUGACUAAGAAGCACCGGCUAAAUACGUGCCAGCAGCCGCGGUAAUACGUAUGGUGCAAGCGUUAUCCGGAUUUACUGGGUGUAAAGGGAGCGUAGGCGGUUUUACAAGUCUGAUGUGAAAGCCCGGGGCUCAACUCCGGUAUUGCAUUGGAAACUGUAGAACUAGAGUGUCGGAGGGGUAAGUGGAAUUCCUAGUGUAGCGGUGAAAUGCGUAGAUAUUAGGAGGAACACCAGUGGCGAAGGCGGCUUACUGGACGAUUACUGACGCUGAGGCUCGAAAGCGUGGGGAGCAAAC
rnacentral:rRNA from 1 species